rnacentral:lncRNA from 1 species
AAGGGGAUCUCGAUUGCACUUCCAGCUGAAGGAAAAAGUGUAGAUCUCCUUCUUCUCUACGCAAAGACCUCGAUUUCCAAAAGAAAAAGGUAAAUAUCCAUCCCUAUCUAGUCUUUUGAUGAUAUUAGGCUAUACAAAGGGUGGAUGUAGUCUAGAGGGGUCAGAUAAGGGUUGUAGAGGUGGUUAAAAGAGGAACAAUCGGAUUUCGACAAAUUUUUCCGGCAUUACGGAAAAACUGUGUCGAAGUCCCAACUUCGGCGAAUUAUUUCAGGGGUCAAACGGCCUCCGAUAGUGAUGCAUAUUACUAUUCUGGAAUCCUCUAUGAGUGUAGAAUGUUAGGUAAAAAUUUCAUCAAAUUUGGAGUCCUAAAAGUGGAUCAAAACCGGGAUGAAGUAACCCAUUGUCAGUCCGGGUUACUGUUCAUCCGGGUGGAAAAUAAGGGAUUUCAUGCUAUAAUAGAGUAUUAAGCCUAGAUCAAGCUAAAAGGGACCUUGUACUCAUGCAAGGGAGUCCAUCAUACACAUAAAUGGUGAGUUAAUUAAUUAAAAAGAAAAAGAGAAAGAAAAAAAAGAUUUAGGGAACGGGGGAGUUGAAUCAAUUAAAGUUUCCUAUAUUAUAAUUGGCACGUAGAUUAUGGCCCUUGAUACAAGACUAAAUGUAUUGUAAAUGCAUGUCACAGUUGGGCAAGAAGCUAGGGAACAAGAGGAAGAAGUUUUCCACUGCAUGCUGUAGAUUUUUGGAGGCGUAUCAGGGCUGUGCCGGAUUGACAGGUGAGUGGGAGUCAUGUACUUUGCACCAUGAGCAUCCUUAAUUUAUUUCCAUGAAUGUUGCCAAGUGUGACUUGAUUCCACCUGAGCUUAUUGAUUAAUUGUUGUAGUAGAUUCCUCUAUAAUCUUGAUUCUCUAUGCUUGAUUAUUCUGUACAUGCAUUUGCGGGAACAUUGAGAGGAAUUAUGAAGGGUUGAUGAGUAAUCAAAUUGAUUCCGAAUUAUGAAAUGAUUUCUUUUGUAAAUUGACUUCAUUUCCUCUAUUUCAAAGACUUGUGAGUGGUAGUCUUGAUUAUGCUCCUUUUUAGUAGAGUAUUGGGAGGGUGCAUUAUGGCAUUUAUGCAUGGCUUGGCAGUAUCUGCAGGACACCUAUAGUCGAUGGGGUUGAACAUCGGCCUUUGUGCACAUAGUAGCCUUCUGGGUGGGCGGAGCCCAGUCCCUUCCUAGGGGGGACACGGCCCUAGGCGUAGGAUC